CCUACGGGAGGCAGCAGUAGGGAAUAUUGCUCAAUGGGGGAAACCCUGAAGCAGCAACGCCGCGUGAAGGAUGAAUGUUUUCUGAGUGGAAACCCCUUUUUUUAGAGGAGAUAAUGACGCUAUGUAACGAAUAACCACGGGUUAAUUCCGUGCCAGCAGCGGCGGUAAAAGUGGGGGUGCACGCGUUACUCCGAAUCACUGGACGUUAAGAGCGCGUAGGCGGGAUAGCAAGGCAGAUGGGAAAUCUUCGGGCUUAACCCUAGAACUGCAUUUGAAACUGGUGUUCUAGAGUUUGGGAGAGGUAGGCGGAAUUCGUGGUGUAGGGGUAAAAUCCGUAGAGAUCAAGAGGAAUUCUGAGUGCGAAGGCGGCAUGCUGGAACACAACUGACGCUGAUGCGCGAAAGCGUGGGGAGCGAACAGGAUUAGAUACCCCAGUAGUC
rnacentral:rRNA from 1 species